GAUGAACGCUGGCGGCGUGCCUAACACAUGCAAGUCGAGCGAAGCACUUUGCUUAGAUUCUUCGGAUGAAGAGGAUUGUGACUGAGCGGCGGACGGGUGAGUAACGCGUGGGUAACCUGCCUCAUACAGGGGGAUAACAGUUAGACAUGACUGCUAAUACCGCAUAAGACCACAGCACCGCAUGGUGCGGGGGUAAAAACUCCGGUGGUAUGAGAUGGACCCGCGUCUGAUUAGCUAGUUGGUAAGGUAACGGCUUACCAAGGCGACGAUCAGUAGCCGACCUGAGAGGGUGACCGGCCACAUUGGGACUGAGACACGGCCCAAACUCCUACGGGAGGCAGCAGUGGGGAAUAUUGCACAAUGGGGGAAACCCUGAUGCAGCGACGCCGCGUGAGCGAAGAAGUAUUUCGGUGUGUAAAGCUCUAUCAGCAGGGAAGAAAAUGACGGUACCUGACUAAGAAGCACCGGCUAAAUACGUGCCAGCAGCUGCGGUAAUACGUAUGGUGCAAGCGUUAUCCGGAUUUACUGGGUGUAAAGGGAGCGUAGACGGAUGGGCAAGUCUGAUGUGAAAACCCGGGGCUCAACCCCGGGACUGCAUUGGAAACUGUUCAUCUAGAGUGCUGGAGAGGUAAGUGGAAUUCCUAGUGUAGCGGUGAAAUGCGUAGAUAUUAGGAGGAACACCAGUGGCGAAGGCGGCUUACUGGACAGUAACUGACGUUGAGGCUCGAAAGCGUGGGGAGCAAACAGG
rnacentral:rRNA from 1 species